AGCUCAGUUGGGUGGAGCAUGGUGCUAAUAAUGCCAAGGUUGUGGGUUCAAUCCCCAU
rnacentral:tRNA from 1 species